rnacentral:rRNA from 1 species
UACGAGGGGGGCAAGCGUUGUUCGGAAUUAUUGGGCGUAAAGGGCGCGUAGGCGGUUUGGCAAGUUUGGUGUGAAAUCUUCGGGCUCAACUCGAAGUCUGCAUCGAAAACUGCCGGGCUUGAGUAUGGGAGAGGUGAGUGGAAUUUCCGGUGUAGCGGUGAAAUGCGUAGAUAUCGGAAGGAACACCUGUGGCGAAAGCG